GAUGAACGCUAGCGGCAGGCUUGAUACAUGCAAGUCGAGGGGCAGCACAGGUAGCAAUACUGGGUGGCGACCGGCAAACGGGUGCGGAACACGUACACAACUUACCUUAAGGUGGGGGAUAGCCCAGGGAAACUUGGAUUAAUACCCCAUAUUACAAUGGUCUCGCAUGGGGUUAUUGUUAAAGAUUUAUUGCCUUAAGAUGGGUGUGCGUAUGAUUAGGUAGUUGGUAGGGUAAAGGCCUACCAAGCCAAGGAUCAUUAACUGGUGUGAGGGCACGACCAGUCACACGGGCACUGAGACACGGGCCCGACUCCUACGGGAGGCAGCAGUAAGGAAUAUUGGUCAAUGGACGGAAGUCUGAACCAGCCAUGCCGCGUGGAGGAUGAAGGUCCUCUGGAUUGUAAACUUCUUUUAUAGGGGGCGAAAAAGGGCCAUUCUUGGUCAACUGACGGUACCCUAUGAAUAAGCACCGGCUAACUCCGUGCCAGCAGCCGCAGUAAUAC
rnacentral:rRNA from 1 species